GAAAGAUACAAAGAGGUCCGCUCCCCAUAUCAAAUGCAACUGAAAAUCAUCUAAAAGGGGGACAACCAAACACACAAGAGCAAAAAAAAAAAAAAAAAAAAAAAAAAA